UACGAAGGGUGCAAGCGUUACUCGGAAUCACUGGGCGUAAAGGGCGCGUAGGCGGACUCUUAAGUCGGGGUGAAAGCCCAGGGCUCAACCCUGGAAUUGCCUUCGAUACUGGGAGUCUUGAGUUCGGAAGAGGUUGGUGGAACUGCGAGUGUAGAGGUGAAAUUCGUAGAUAUUCGCAAGAACACCAGUGGCGAAGGCGGCCAACGUGGCCCGGUACUGACGCUGAGGUGCGAAAGCGUGGGAGCAACAGGG
rnacentral:rRNA from 1 species